rnacentral:rRNA from 1 species
GCGGCGGAUGGGUGAGUAACACGUGGGCAACCUGCCUAUAAGACUGGGAUAACUCGCGGAAACGCGAGCUAAUACUGGAUAAUCCCCUUCAUUACCUAAUGGAGGGUUAAAAGAUGGCUUAGGCUAUCACUUAUAGAUGGGCCUGCGUCGCAUUAGCUAGUUGGUGAGAUAAAAGCUCACCAAGGCAACGAUGCGUAGCCGACCUGAGAGGGUGAUCGGCCACACUGGGACUGAGACACGGCCCAGACUCCUACGGGAGGCAGCAGUAGGGAAUCUUCCGCAAUGGACGCAAGUCUGACGGAGCAAUGCCGCGUGAACGAAGAAGGUUUUCGGAUCGUAAAGUUCUGUUGUUAGGGAAGAACAAGUAUCAUUCGAAUAGGGUGGUACCUUGACGGUACCUAACGAGAAAGCCCCGGCUAACUACGUGCCAGCAGCCGCGGUAAUACGUAGGGGGCAAGCGUUGUCCGGAAUUAUUGGGCGUAAAGGGCACGCAGGCGGUUUUUUAAGUCUGAUGUGAAAUCUUGCG